rnacentral:rRNA from 1 species
UACGUAGGGCGCAAGCGUUGUCCGGAAUUAUUGGGCGUAAAGAGCUCGUAGGCGGUUUGUCGCGUCUGCUGUGAAAACCUAAGGCUCAACCUUGGGCUUGCAGUGGGUACGGGCAGACUAGAGUGCGGUAGGGGUGACUGGAAUUCCUGGUGUAGCGGUGGAAUGCGCAGAUAUCAGGAGGAACACCGAUGGCGAAGGCAGGUCUCUGGGCG